rnacentral:rRNA from 1 species
CCACCCGCGGUAAUUCCAGCUCCAAUAGCGUAUAUUAAUGUUGCUGCUGUUAAAAAGCUCGUAGUUGGAUCAAGAGUCGGACAGUGCACAGUGGCCCUGUUUGUCGUAGUGGCUUCGGUCAGUGCGGCGGCAGCGGGUAAACCCUGUGCGCUAAGCUGUCCGCUCUAAUAGGUGGAAACGGUUCCCUGUGAGUAGGUCCCUUCACUGGGAUUGAAAGCGCCAACGCGUUAACCAUACGCAUACGGGACGUCCGCCAUUGUUACUGUGAACAAACCAGCGUAUCCAAAGCAGGUUAAGCCUGUAUGUUCGAGCAUGGAAUAACAAGGGAUCGGAACUCUCGGUUCUUUUUGUUGGUUUUUAACCCGAGAAGUUGGAAUGCAGGCCAGGGUGUCUGAGUCAGGUUUCCCUGGGCUUCGGCUCACGCCCUGAUUAGGCCCUGUCCUUACGGGAUCAAUAGGGACUGCCGGGGUCGUAUGUACUACUACGUCAGAGGUGAAAUUCUUAGAUCGUAGUAGGACAAACUUCUGCGAAAGCAUUCGACUAGAAUGUCUUAAUUAAUCAAGAACGAGAGUGUGGGGAUCGAAGAUGAUCAGAUACCGUCGUAGUCCACUACUGUAAACAAUGCCGUCUCAGGAUCGAGGAGUGAACUAAAUGACCUCCACGGCACUAACCCCUGAAACGAGAAAUCAAAGAUUAUUGGUUCAGGGGGGAGUACAUUCGCAAGGCUGAAACUUAAAGGAAUUGACGGAAUGACACCACCAGGCGUGGAGUAUGCGGCUUAAUUUAACUCAACACGGGGAAUUAUACUAGGUCAGGACAAUGUAAGGAUUGACAGAUUGAGAGCUCUUUCUCGAUCCAUUGUGUGGUGGUGCAUGGCCGCUCCUGGUUGGUGGAGUGAUUUGUCUGGUUGAUUCCGUUAACGAACGAGAUCUCGACCUCUAAAUAGGUGGCCGUGACGAUCUGUAGUCUCAUCUCUCCGGCUUCGGUCAAUAUGAGUGGGACGAGUCAGCGGCAAUACUUCUUAGAGGGACUGUCUGCGUCUCUAGCAGGCGGAAGAGCGAGCCAAUAGCAGGUCUGUGAUGCUCCUAAAUGUCCUAGGCUGCACGCGCACUACACUGAUGCAUUAAACGAGUCUGAUUGCCUUCUGGCAACCUAGCUUGAAGAAGCUGGGAAACCUUUUGAACUGCAUCGUGAUCAG